rnacentral:rRNA from 1 species
UGGGGAAUUUUGGACAAUGGGCGAAAGCCUGAUCCAGCAAUGCCGCGUGUGUGAAGAAGGCCUUCGGGUCGUAAAGCACUUUUGUCCGGAAAGAAAUCCUUGGCUCUAAUACAGUCGGGGGAUGACGGUACCGGAAGAAUAAGCACCGGCUAACUACGUGCCAGCAGCCGCGGUAAUACGUAGGGUGCAAGCGUUAAUCGGAAUUACUGGGCGUAAAGCGUGCGCAGGCGGUUUGCUAAGACCGAUGUGAAAUCCCCGGGCUCAACCUGGGAACUGCAUUGGUGACUGGCAGGCUAGAGUAUGGCAGAGGGGGGUAGAAUUCCACGUGUAGCAGUGAAAUGCGUAGAGAUGUGGAGGAAUACCGAUGGCGAAGGCAGCCCCCUGGGCCAAUACUGACGCUCAUGCACGAAAGCGUGGGGAGCAAACAGGAUUAGAUACCCUGGUAGUCCACGCCCUAAACGAUGUCAACUAGUUGUUGGGGAUUCAUUUCCUUAGUAACGUAGCUAACGCGUGAAGUUGACCGCCUGGGGAGUACGGUCGCAAGAUUAAAACUUAAAGGAAUUGACGGGGUCAUAGCUGUUUCCU